GAUGAACGCUAGCUACAGGCUUAACACAUGCAAGUCGAGGGGCAGCGGUAUCGAAAGCUUGCUUUCGGUAGCCGGCGACCGGCGCACGGGUGAGUAACGCGUAUCGAACCUGCCUCAUACUCGGGAAUAGCCUUGCGAAAGUAAGAUUAAUGCCCGGUGUUUUCAGAGUCCCGCAUGAGGCUUUGAACAAAGAUUUAUCGGUAUGAGAUGGCGAUGCGUCCCAUUAGCUUGUUGGCGGGGUAACGGCCCACCAAGGCAUCGAUGGGUAGGGGUUCUGAGAGGAAGGUCCCCCACAUUGGAACUGAGACACGAUCCAAACUCCUACGGGAGGCAGCAGUGAGGAAUAUUGGUCAAUGGGCGGAAGCCUGAACCAGCCAAGUAGCGUGCAGGAAGACGGCCCUCCGGGUUGUAAACUGCUUUUAGUUGGGAAUAAAACGGGGCUCGUGAGCCCCCUUGCAUGUACCAUCAGAAAAAGGACCGGCUAAUUCCGUG
rnacentral:rRNA from 1 species